rnacentral:lncRNA from 1 species
AGACCCUCCAUACCAUUUUAAGCUUCUUCUGUUUCCAUUUCUCUACUCUUCCCUUGUUCUUAAUUAGCUAAGCCAGCUAGCUAGCUAUGGAAAUGAAGACCACGACUAUUGCAAGUGUUUUGAUCUCUGUUCUAGUUGUGUGCAGCUUGUCUUGUGCAGCAGAGCUACUACGACGAUUCCAGCACGCACCCAAAGCCGAUGGAUCUCUUAGCUUUUUGGUUCUUGGAGAUUGGGGAAGAAGAGGAGCCUUCAAUCAAUCUCAAGUUGCUCUUCAGGUUCAUGUUCAUUAAUCAUGGAGCAGACAAACGCUUUCACGAGCACUAUGGUUUGUCUCAACUUUUCUAAUUACAUAUAUUAAUGUCAUGAUAAGGUUUGUUUUUUUUAACGAAGGAAACUUAAUUAUACAUCUUGGGACCUAGGCCUGGGUGUCAUUUUAAUCAUUGUUAAUUAACUACUGUCUUUAAUUGACUACGCUAAUCAUGAGAUUAUUCCCCACUAAACCAACCUACGUAAAUAAUGUCAUGAUAAGGUUUGCUUUUUUUUUUUUGACUUAAUGAGGUUGAUGUCCGUAGUGGAUUUUAUUAAUUAAUUGUGGGUGCUUUGUGUGUCUAAUUUUCCACACGAGGACCACACGAGGACCCUCUUCUGCAUCCUUAUCUUUCAAUUACAUUAGUAUUAUCCUACACUAUUUAACUUGCUCUGCAGGUGGAAAGUUUUUGAUUUAAGAGACAAUCAUGAUGCCUUCCACAAACGAUAAUAAUAUUAUCUACUAUAUUAUUUGAUUGUGGUGUUGUUAUGAACCCACAAAUAAUUAUCUUUACUUUACCGCACAUUUAAUUUAAGGUAUGGUGCGGGAUUAACGUCCAUACAAGUAAUUUAUUUACCAGUAAAUUUAUUUUAUGGAUUAAUUGUGCUGUAUGAUGAGUUUUUACAGUAUACAGAUCAGGACCAGAAGUUCCUUGAUCCUCAUCAUACAUUUACAUCAGGACUUGAAGAUCCUUGAUGAUGAUAUUGAUAUGAGAGCUGGCAGUCUCUCCGGUACUAUAUUUGUAAACAUGUGAUCGGACUUAAGGGUCCUUGAUCCCUGACAUGUGAAUAAGGACCUGGGGUUCCUUAAUGAUGUAACAGUACCGUAUUGGUUAAAAGUGCCGUACAUAUGGAUAAGAACUGUACUGGCAAAUGUACUGUACAUAUGAAUAGAUAUGUAUUCAUGAAUUGAUGAAU